UACGUAGGGUGCAAGCGUUAUCCGGAAUUAUUGGGCGUAAAGAGCUCGUAGGCGGUGUGUCGCGUCGGCCGUGAAAACCUGCAGCUUAACUGUGGGCUUGCGGUCGAUACGGGCAUCACUGGAGUUCGGCAGGGGAGACUGGAAUUCCUGGUGUAGCGGUGAAAUGCGCAGAUAUCAGGAGGAACACCGGUGGCGAAGGCGGGUCUCUGGGCCGAUACUGACGCUGAGGAGCGAAAGCGUGGGGAGCAAACAGG
rnacentral:rRNA from 1 species